rnacentral:rRNA from 1 species
AAAUGAAUUGACGGGACCGCACAAGCGGUGGAUGAUGUGGUUUAAUUCGAUGCAACGCGAAAACCUUACCACCUUUGACAUGUACGGAAUCCUUUAGAGAUAGAGGAGUGCUCGAAAGAGAGCCGUAACACAGGUGCUGCAUGGCUGUCGUCAGCUCGUGUCGUGAGAUGUUGGGUUAAGUCCCGCAACGAGCGCAACCCUUGUCAUUAGUUGCUACAUUCAGUUGGGCACUCUAAUGAGACUGCCGGUGACAAACCGGAGGAAGGUGGGGAUGACGUCAAGUCCUCAUGGCCCUUAUAGGUGGGGCUACACACGUCAUACAAUGGAUGGUACAAAGGGUCGCCAACCCGCGAGGGGGAGCCAAUCCCAUAAAGCCGGCCUCAGUUCAGAUCGGAGGCUGCAACUCGCCUCCGUGAAGGCGGAAUCGCUAGUAAUCGCGGAUCAGCAGGCCGCGGUGAAUACGUUCCCGGGCCUU